rnacentral:rRNA from 1 species
UACAGAGACUGCGAGCGUUAUUCGGAUUCACUGGGCGUAAAGGGUGCGCAGGCGGCCAGGUGUGUGGGGCGUGAAAGCCCGGGGCUCAACCCCGGAAUUGCACCUCAAACUACAUGGCUAGAGUACUGGAGAGGGAGACGGAAUUCACGGUGUAGCAGUGAAAUGCGUAGAUAUCGUGAGGAACACCAGAGGCGAAGGCGGUCUCCUGGACAGUUACUGACGCUCAGGCACGGAAAGCGUGGGGAGCAAAAGGG